rnacentral:rRNA from 1 species
UGUGCCCCUUAGUUCGGGAUAGCCACUGGAAACGGUGAUUAAUACCCGAUACUCCUUCUUGUUAUAAGACAAGUCGGGAAAGUUUUUCGCUAAGGGAUCAGUCUAUGUUCCAUCAGCUUGUUGGUGAGGUAAUGGCUCACCAAGGCUAUGACGGAUAUCUGGUUUGAGAGGAUGAUCAGACACACUGGAACUGAGACACGGUCCAGACUCCUACGGGAGGCAGCAGUGAGGAAUAUUGCACAAUGGAGGAAACUCUGAUGCAGCAACGCCGCGUGGAGGAUGACGCAUUUCGGUGUGUAAACUCCUUUUAUUAGGGAAGAUAAUGACGGUACCUAAUGAAUAAGCACCGGCUAACUCCGUGCCAGCAGCCGCGGUAAUACGGAGGGUGCAAGCGUUACUCGGAAUCACUGGGCGUAAAGGGUGCGUAGGCUGGCUUUUAAGUCAGAUGUGAAAUCCAAUGGCUCAACCAUUGAACUGCAUUUGAAACUGAAAGCCUAGAGUUCAGAAGGGGCAGAUGGAAUUAGUGGUGUAGGGGUAAAAUCCGUAGAUAUCACUAGGAAUAUCAAAAGCGAAGG